AGUGAACGCUGGCGGUAGGCCUAACACAUGCAAGUCGAACGGCAGCACAGUAAGAGCUUGCUCUUACGGGUGGCGAGUGGCGGACGGGUGAGGAAUACAUCGGAAUCUACUUUUUCGUGGGGGAUAACGUAGGGAAACUUACGCUAAUACCGCAUACGACCUACGGGUGAAAGCAGGGGAUCUUCGGACCUUGCGCGAUUGAAUGAGCCGAUGUCGGAUUAGCUAGUUGGCGGGGUAAAGGCCCACCAAGGCGACGAUCCGUAGCUGGUCUGAGAGGAUGAUCAGACACACUGGAACUGAGACACGGUCCAGACUCCUACGGGAGGCAGCAGUGGGGAAUAUUGGACAAUGGGCGCAAGCCUGAUCCAGCCAUACUGCGUGGGUGAAGAAGGCCUUCGGGUUGUAAAGCCCUUUUGUUGGGAAAGAAAAGCAGCAGGUUAAUACCCCGCUGUUCUGACGGUACCCAAAGAAUAAGCACCGGCUAACUUCGUG
rnacentral:rRNA from 1 species